AGUAAGUGGCGAUAGUUCAGGUUGGAAAAGAGAACAAUUGAUAGUCUAAAUAAGUUUCGAUUGUGUUUUAAUAUUUAAAUCGUGAUAGUUCAUGUAGAAAUAGAAAAAAAAUGAUAAUUUGAGUACUGUAAAAUUCGCAAAAAAAAUAAUAGUUUAGACGUAUUUUUUAUUAUUAGAGAUAGGGUUUGAUAAUUCAUGUAAUUAAGUUUUCACUUUUUCCAUUUCACUUGUACUUCCAAUAUUGACCUUGUAGAUGUUGCUUUAGUGAAGAAAGGUGACUUUGAGAAGUACUCAUAUAUAGAGGGCCAUUGAAAUUGAAAGAAUUUGACAGGGAAAAUGGGCAUAUAUAGAUGUACCUCCAUUAACAAAAGUGGUGUUUAAAUAUAAGGUACACACUAAGAAUAAAGCAAAACAGAAACUUAAAAAUAAAAAUAUCAUUCAUUAAUUAUUUGUAAAAAAAAUAAAAAAUGACAAGGUUUCAUCACUCUAGACAGUCCGAUAUACUAAACUUCCGUUAUACACUGAGUCGAGGAAGAAUCAAACCAACCACAAAAGUAAAUUAUACGGAGUCUUACCCUCCAUAUAAAAAUGACAAGGUACCAUCAGUCUAUAUAAAAAUGAAACAAUUAGUUUGUUGGCCAACCCACAAAUCUUGAUGAUUUUUAGAGAUUUUUCUAGGGGGGAACAAAAAAAAAGAUGAGAUGAAAUUUCUUUGCCAAAAUUUCAUGAAUCCAACAUUUAACCUUUAAGAACUUGCAAAGAAAAUUGGAUAAGAUACACAAAUAGCCACUUUUCAAUACUUAGUAAUUUAAAAUGUAGCCAUUAUCUCAAAAUGGUAAAAUUCCACCAUAUUGUUAAGAAUUUGAAACUCUGUAACAAUACUUAUUUUUCAAAGACGAGAUUGAAAAGUUACCAGUAAACGUUAUUUUCAUCGAGAAAAAGAGUCGAAACACCCAAUGAGUAUAUAAUUUCUUCAUGGUUUAUGUCCUUGGAUCCAUCUA
rnacentral:lncRNA from 1 species